GUUGCAGCGGCCAUGCCAGCAGAGGUGCUAAAGCAGUUCGGUGUGAUGGACAUCAGCUUCAAGAAGAGAAACUGUGCGGCCAUGCCAAUGCUGGCCAUAACUUGUGACACGGUCAAAGCCGGAUUGAUGAAGAGACCGACUGGCGAUGUCGGCGCGCCUGACCCGUGCAAUCCGUGGGGUGAGAGGUGUUGGUGAUAAUUUAGUCUUCACGAUGCCGAACUCUUGUUUGGCUUGCCGAGCUGAUGAUCCGAUAAGGCUGGGCUCGGCUCAAUGAAGCGACGAUCCGUCAGGCGCAGGUCGGCAGCUCGGGAUGGUUUGACACCGACGCGAUGGUGAAGUUCAUAUUGGAAAAGACUUUAAAAUUAGUGGGAUGUGUUUGGGAACAAAACACAAUACCCCAUAUAAAACUUCCUUCAAAAAGGAUUUCCGAAAUCCCGUCCAUAAAAAACAUGAACUCGAGUCAGAUUCGUUAAGCGAUACUGACGUGCAAAUUGUUCGUCUGACUUGGGUAUAGGGGCGAAAGACUAAUCGAACCAUCUAGUAGCUGGUUCCCUCCGAAGUUUCCCUCAGGAUACCUAGAGCCCAUUACGAGUUCUAUAAGGUAAAGCCAAUGAUUAGCCAUUUUUGGUAAGCAGAACUGGCGAUGAGGGAUGAACCAGAAGCCGGGUAAUGGUGCCCAACUGCGCGCUAACCUAGAACCGACAAAGGGUGUUGGUCGAUUAAGACAGCAGGACGGUGAUCAUGGAAGUCGAAAUCCGCUAAGGAGUGUGUAACAACUCACCUGCUGAAUCAACUAGCCCCGAAAAUGGAUGGUGCUGAAGCGCGCGACCCACAUCCGACCAUCUGGGCGAGCGCCAUGCCCCGAUGAGUAGGAGGGUGCGGCGGCCGCUGCAAAACUCGGGGUGUGAGCCCGGGCGGAGCGGCCGUCGGUGCAGAUCUUGGUGGUUGUAGAAAAUAUUCAAAUGAGAACUUUGAAGUCCGAAGAGGAGAAAGGUUCCAUGUGAACGGCACUUGCACAUGGGUAAGCCGAUCCUAAGGGACGGGGUAACCCCGGCAGACAUCGCGAUUACACGCAUCCCCCGAAAGGGAAUCGAGUUAAGAUUUCCCGAGCCGGGAUGUGGCGGUUGACGGCGACGUUAGGAAGUACGGAGACGACGGCGGGGGCCUCGGGAAGAGUUAUCUUUUCUGCUUCACGGCCUGCCAACCCUGGAAACGGUUCAGCCGGAGGUAGAAUCCAGUGGCCAGAAGAGCACCGCACGUUGCGCGGUGUCCCGUGCGUCCCCGGCAGCCCAUGAAAAUCCGGAGGACCGAGUACCGUUCACGCUCGGCCGUACUCAUAACCGCAUCAGGGCUCCAAGGUGAACAGCCUCUGGCCAAUGGAACAAUGUAGGCAAGGGAAGUCGGCAAAAUGGAUCUGUAACUUCGGGAAAAGGAUUGGCUCUGACGACUGGGCUCGGGGGUCCCGGCCCCGAACCCAACGGCUGUCGGCAGAUUGGUCAAGCUGCUCACGUGGCGAGAGCGGGUUGCUGCGUGCCGGCCGGGGGAUGGAACGAGAAUCGCCCCUUCGGGGUCUUUCCCCGAGCAUGAAACAGUCGACUCAGAACUGACGGACAAGGGGAAUCCGACUGUUUAAUUAAAGCAAAGCAUUGCGAUGGUCCUCGCGGAUGCUGACGCAAUGUGAUUUCUGCCCAGUGCUCUGAAUGUCAAAGUUAAGAAUUUCAACCAAGCGCGGGUAAACGGAGGGAGUAACUAUGACUUUCUUAAGGUAGCCAAAUGCCUGUUCAUCUAAUUAGUGACGUGCAUGAAUGGAUUAACGAGAUUCCCACUGUCCCUGUCUACUAUCCAGCGAAACCACAUCCAAGGGAACGGGCUUGGCGGAAUCAGCGGGGAAAGAAGACCCUGUUGAGCUUGACUCUAGUCCGACUUUGUGAAAUGACUUGAGAGGUGUAGGAUAAGUGGGAGGCCUCACGUGUGCAUGUGAAAUACCACUACUUUUAACUUUAUUUUACUUAUUCCGUGGGUCGGAAGCGGGGCAUGUCCCCUCCUUUUGGCUCAAAGGCCCGGUCUUACCGGGCCGAUCCAGGCGGAAGACAUUGUCAGGUGGGGAGUUUGGCUGGGGCGGCACAUCUAUUAAAAGAUAACACAGGUGCCCUAAGAUGAGCUCAACGAGGACAGAAAUCUUGUGUGGAACAAAAGGGUAAAAUAUCGUUUGAUUCUGAUUUCCGGUACGAAUACGAACCAUGAAAGCGUGGCCUAUCGAUCCUUUAGAUAUUCGGAGUUUGAAGCUAGAGGUGUCAGAAAAGUUACCAUAGGGAUAACUGGCUUGUGGCAGCCAAGCGUUCAUAGCGACCUUGCUUUUUGAGCGUUUCAUGUCGGCUCUUCCUAUCAUUGUGAAGCAGAGUUCACCAAAUGUUGGAUUGUUCACCCACCAAUAGGGAACGUGAGCUGGCUUUAGACCGUCGUGCGACAGGUUAGUUUUACCCUACUGAUGACAGUGUCGCGAUAGUAAUUCAACCUAGUACGAGAGGAACCGUUGAUUCACACAAUUGGUCAUCGCGCAUGGUUGAAAAGCUAGUAGCGCGAAGCUACCGUGUGCCAGAUUAUGACUGAACGCCUCUAGGUCAGAAUCCAAGCUAGCAUGCGAUGCCUGCGCCCGCCGCCCGCCCCGACCCACGUUUGGGGCGCUUGCGCCCCAAGGGCCGUGCCAUUGGCUAAGCCGGUCCGUCCGACGUGCCGUGACCGGCCGCCUCGAAGAUCCCUUUCCAAUGGGCGGUGGGCUGAAUCCUUUGCAGACGACUUAAAUACGCGACGGGGCAUUGUAAGUGGCAGAGUGGCCUUGCUGCCACGAUCCACUGAGAUCUAGCCCCAUGUCGCACGGAUACGUCCCUCCCCCACAAC
rnacentral:rRNA from 2 species